rnacentral:rRNA from 1 species
CAGCUAGUUGGUGGGGUAAAGGCCCACCAAGGCGACGAUCAGUAGCUGGUCUGAGAGGACGAUCAGCCACACUGGGACUGAGACACGGCCCAGACUCCUACGGGAGGCAGCAGUGGGGAAUUUUGGACAAUGGGGGCAACCCUGAUCCAGCAAUGCCGCGUGUGUGAAGAAGGCCUUCGGGUUGUAAAGCACUUUUGUCCGGAAAGAAAUCGCACUUACUAAUAUUAGGUGUGGAUGACGGUACCGGAAGAAUAAGGACCGGCUAACUACGUGCCAGCAGCCGCGGUAAUACGUAGGGUCCAAGCGUUAAUCGGAAUUACUGGGCGUAAAGCGUGCGCAGGCGGUUGUGCAAGACCGAUGUGAAAUCCCCGGGCUUAACCUGGGAAUUGCAUUGGUAACUGCACGGCUAGAGUGUGUCAGAGGGGGGUAGAAUUCCACGUGUAGCAGUGAAAUGCGUAGAGAUGUGGAGGAAUACCGAUGGCGAAAGCAGCCCCC